AUUAUAUGGGGUCUCAAAAGAUUUCAGCGACAACAUAUGCUUAAUUCUUGACUUCGCAGACUGUGGAACACUCUACAAUUUCUUGCAUCAUUCUGAUGUCGACGUUACAUUUGACACGAAGCUUGAUUGUUUGCUGCAAUGUGCCAAGGGUGUGGAGUAUUUACACAGAAACCAAAGAAUUCUUCUGGAUCUUAAGACACACAACUUGUUGCUUUUCAAUAAAUUUCGUGUACUGAAAAUAUGUGGAUAUAGUAAAAGCACAAAUAUAAACUCUGAACUUGUGGGGAAAAUUGGUUAUUCAGCUCCAGAAAUAUUUACCGAAAAUGACCGUUCCAAUAAAUGCGAUGUAUUUAACUUGGGAAUCAUUUUUUGGGAAGUAAUGUCUAGGAAGAAGCCAUUUUACG